rnacentral:rRNA from 1 species
GGAAGGCCCUUCCUUUUUUGGUUGGGUGCUCGAGUGGCGAACGGGUGAGUAUUACGUGAGUAACCUGCCCUCAACUGUGGGAUAAGCCUGGGAAACUGGGUCUAAUACUGCAUAUUCUUCUUUCACCGCAUGGUGGGGGUUGGAAAGUUUUUUCGGUUGGGGAUGGGCUCGCGGCCUAUCAGCUUGUUGGUGGGGUGAUGGCCUACCAAGGCGGUGACGGGUAGCCGGCCUGAGAGGGUGGUCGGCCACAUUGGGACUGAGAUACGGCCCAGACUCCUACGGGAGGCAGCAGUGGGGGAUAUUGCACAAUGGGCGCAAGCCUGAUGCAGCGACGCCGCGUGAGGGAUGAAGGCUUUCGGGUUGUAAACCUCUUUCGGUACAGAACAAGGCACGUUUUUUGCGUGUGGAGGGUAUGUGCAGAAGAAGCGCCGGCUAACUACGUGCCAGCAGCCGCGGUAAUACGUAGGGCGCGAGCGUUGUCCGGAAUUAUUGGGCGUAAAGGGCUCGUAGGCGGCUUGUUGCGCCUGCUGUGAAAACGCGGGGCUUAACUCCGCGCGUGCAGUGGGUACGGGCAGGCUUGAGUGUGGUAGGGGUGACUGGAAUUCCAGGUGUAGCGGUGGAAUGCGCAGAUAUCUGGAGGAACACCGAUGGCGAAGGCAGGUCACUGGGCCAUUACUGACGCUGAGGAGCGAAAGCGUGGGUAGCGAACAGGAUUAGAUACCCUGGUAGUCCACGCUGUAAACGUUGGGAACUAGGUGUGGGGCCCUUUUCCGGGGUUCUGCGCCGUAGCUAACGCAUUAAGUUCCCCGCCUGGGGAGUACGGCCGCAAGGCUAAAACUCAAAGGAAUUGACGGGGGCCCGCACAAGCGGCGGAGCAUGCGGAUUAAUUCGAUGCAACGCGAAGAACCUUACCAAGGCUUGACAUACACCGGGAGCAUGCAGAGAUGUGUGUGCCUUUUUGGCUGGUGUACAGGUGGUGCAUGGUUGUCGUCAGCUCGUGUCGUGAGAUGUUGGGUUAAGUCCCGCAACGAGCGCAACCCUUGUCUCGUGUUGCCAGCGCGUUAUGGUGGGGACUCACGAGAGACUGCCGGGGUUAACUCGGAGGAAGGUGGGGAUGACGUCAAAUCAUCAUGCCCCUUAUGUCUUGGGCUUCACGCAUGCUACAAUGGCCGGUACAGUGGGUUGCGAUACUGUGAGGUGGAGCGAAUCUC